ensembl:lncRNA
GUUUUAGCCUAUCUUCAUAUUGUACUGUCUUUGACAUAGGUCUUCGCAUUAUAAUCAAAGCAACUGGUUGCUAUGGCAUCGGGGAGAGGUCGUCCCGUCAACCAAUCAGAGAUGAAUUCCCACGGUCUUAUAAACCAAUGAAAAUAGGACUCUGGGAAUAGCGGAAAUACAUGAAACCCAUGGCACAAAUACAUUUUUUGCUCAUACCACGUGUUUAUAGGGAAUCGCGAGUUGAUGAUCGCCUAAAGCCAAGGACAGGAGACGAAGGCUUUUCUUGCACAUAGCUUCUCCAAGUAGUCCAUGUGGCUCCAGUCCAAUGCAAACUAUCUCAGAAGGAUUAGUUUUCCAGGAUGCUGGAUUAGAGAUAUUACUGUGGGGAUUGCUACUACUGCCUGUGAUCUGAGGACAACCAGCCAGUGUCUAUCCCCUCCUCUGCUACUGGGCCAGACACACGAGUGCGCAC